rnacentral:rRNA from 1 species
UACGUAGGUGGCGAGCGUUGUCCGGAUUUACUGGGCGUAAAGAGCGCGCAGGCGGUCGUUCAAGUCGCGUGUGAAAGCCCCCGGCUCAACUGGGGAGGGUCACGCGAUACUGAUCGACUCGAAGGCAGGAGAGGGAAGUGGAAUUCCCGGUGUAGUGGUGAAAUGCGUAGAUAUCAGGAGGAACACCAAUUGCGAAGGCAGCUCGCUGGGACGUUACUGACGCUGAGACGCGAAAGCGUGGGGAGCAAACAGG